ACAGAGUUUUUGGUCACACCAUGGCCUAAAACCUAUGCUUCGACGCGACGACUAUCACUUGACGUCAUGACGUGGACUCUGUUUUUGGCACAACUUAGGCCAUUUGGUAUCUAUUUCAUGUGAACCUUUCAACUUAACCAAAUGGUGCAUUUUGCACAACAUUUACCUACACAAGACCAUUCCAAUAACAUUUCCAAACAUCAUUUUAAAACCAAUUCAUAGCAAUCAAUUCGUUAUGCCACAUUUGACACCCAAACGUACCAAUUCAACCUAAUCUAUCUCUGUAACACCCCUAUACUUGAUUCGACCUUCGGGACCCAGUAUAGAACUAUUACAUUUGUUUCCAAAGCGCUCUUGGCUAAACAAAAGGUAAUUUGAACAUUUUAUGACUAAAUUUUAACAUUUACGACUUAUUAAUAUAAUUACGGAUGUUUUGAAACUUUGUCGGUUAACCGAGUUCAUUUGGAAGUAAAUAGAAUAAAAUUUUCAUUUAAAACAUGAGGCAAGUAUCAGUAGCAAAACCUAAGGUAUUGAUACAUAUAACAAGGUAUUUGUUCCCUUGACAAGUAUCGAUACCAAAAUCGGAUUCUAUAACUCAAAUUUUUUAAAAAUUUCAUGCAGGUACCAAAACCUAAGGUAACGAUACUUAUAACAUGCAUUAUGCGCUGAAUCUCCCACUUGUUAAAACAG
rnacentral:lncRNA from 1 species